rnacentral:rRNA from 1 species
GGGGACCCGCACAAGCGGUUGGAUGAUGUGGAUUAAUUCGAUGCAACGCGAAGAACCUUACCUACCCUUGACAUGUCCGGAACUUGCCAGAGAUGGCUUGGUGCCCGAAAGGGAAUCGGAACACAGGUGCUGCAUGGCUGUCGUCAGCUCGUGUCGUGAGAUGUUGGGUUAAGUCCCGCAACGAGCGCAACCCUUAUCAUUAGUUGCUACGCAAGGGCACUCUAAUGAGACUGCCGGUGACAAACCGGAGGAAGUGGGGAUGACGUCAAGUCCUCAUGGCCCUUAUGGGUAGGGCUUCACACGUCAUACAAUGGUCGGUACAGAGGGUUGCCAAGCCGCGAGGCGGAGCCAAUCCCACAAAGCCGAUCGUAGUCCGGAUUGUUCUCUGCAACUCGAGAGCAUGAAGUCGGGAUCGCUAGUAAUCGCAGGUCAGCAUACUGCGGUGAAUACGUUCCCGGGUCUU